UGCGUAGGGUGCAAGCGUUAAUCGGAAUUACUGGGCGUAAAGCGUGCGCAGGCGGUUUUGUAAGUCUGUCGUGAAAUCCCCGGGCUCAACCUGGGAAUUGCGAUGGAGACUGCAAGGCUAGAAUCUGGCAGAGGGGGGUAGAAUUCCACGUGUAGCAGUGAAAUGCGUAGAGAUGUGGAGGAACACCGAUGGCGAAGGCAGCCCCCUGGGUCAAGAUUGACGCUCAUGCACGAAAGCGUGGGGAGCAAACAGG
rnacentral:rRNA from 1 species